AAACAAUGAUCACCAAGUCCCAGAACAGGUUGUGUGAGCCCCUUGAGGCGUUCAUCCAGCUCUGUUUCAGAGAAAUCUCUAUUUCAAUCUAUUCCUAUAUGUUAGUUAUUGAAAAACAAUAGACAAUCACAAAAACAAGUUGACCUAUUUGUGUUCCUUGAGCCCAGUAGUGAAGGGCCCUCGUGACCGGGCCUCAUGCACAACAACUUGUUACAGAAAGAGCCAGGAUCCCAGACUGUGCUGAAGCUUCAUGAGACCUCUCCUCGUCUGUGCACGAAAGAGGAGCCGGACACAGAGUGUCCAGCCGACUCUGGAGCCCAGGCUGUUGCUUCCCGGUCUGGUGGUGAGUCCUCCAUUGUCUGAUGUGGGUAAGUCCAAGACCAAGGAGCCAGCAGAUUCAGAGUCCAGGGAGGGCUGUUCCUGAUUUGCAGAUGGCGCCUUCUCUUUAUGUCUUCACAAGAUUGUGAAGCCUGUAGCUUGGAAGAUACAGGACAUAGGUGAAAGUGUUUGUACCAUUCAUUUAAAGGCAUAAAUGUCCAAUGGGGAGCCUGCAUUCCCUGCCUCCUAGUGGCUUCCUCCCAUCACUCGAACCUCUGUUUCCAGCCUCAGGAUUCCUAAUGUGACUCUGACGUUUCAUCUCCUGUUUAUGAGGACGCUUCUGAUUGCUAAGAUACAUACGGUGACACUAUGGAAGUUAACUUGAAGAUUAAAACCCUGAAAAAUAGAAAGAAUCUUCUAUGGUAUAUCACAGAGAUUACAAGGGCCUGAAUUAGAGUGGUGACAUUUUCAUCCCUUGAUAAUGGAUUAAAAACAAUUGAAUGAAGCUUUGGGGUGAACUUACAGGACUUUAUGGCAAACUUCAUAUGGGAGACUUACAUGAAGGGAGGAAGAAAUGCGUAUGUGUACAAAAUCAUGUGGAUAGAUGUGCAUUUGUGGGUAUCUGUGAAUACAAAUACACAAUUUUCAGACAGAAGUAGUAUAAGAAAAGGAAAUCAAACAAAGUCAAACAUUUUAAGUGUAGCUCUUGGUGCACUUUAAAAAAUUAUUAAAUUGAAGCUGUAGUUUAUUCUCAUCAUUGUCAUCCUAUAUUAGUGAUUUUCUUUAGCUUUUGAAAUUAAAUUCAUAAUAUUACAAUUCUGAAUUCCUAUGUAUGUAUAUGUUAAGAAUCCUUUAAUGGGACUGACUUUCAUAUGUGUGUGGCUGCAUUCUGAAAUAGUUGUCUAGUUGAUACAUAAAGCAGUGAGUGCUAUUUGUAAGAUAUAUUUAUAUUUAAAGUCUUCAUACAGUUAUUAACUAGCUCCAAUAUUACUGAAAUGAUUUCUCCAAAUAUCCUAUAUUUAAUUAUCAUGCUGGCAAAUUUAUUAUAACUUUGGUUUGAAAAAAUAUAUUAUGAUACAUAUCCACUGACUAAUGCCACCUAUCUGCUUUCCUGAAUUCAAAGUUUAUGAUUAUUUCCAUAAAUGUAUUUAUCAGUAUAAUCAAAAAUAAAAAUAACAUAAAUAAAAUUUCUGUGAGCUUUACACAUCUAAUGUGCAAUGAUUAUAAAUCUGGUCUUAUACACAUGGUAAAAAACAUUUAAGUCACAAAAGUAUACUUCAGGUUUAAGUAUAAAUCUGAAAUUAAAUUCUCAGAUUUAAGUAUAAUUUUUAAAAGCUUUGGUAAUUGUGUCCCUACUGUUAAAUUUAUUGUAUAGUUUUCACUAUAUCAUCUGACCUUUUAAUGUUUCUAGAAACUUGUGUGAGGUCUCAUACUUCAUGGCUAAUAAAGUAUUUAUUUUUCUAUUCUUGAUCAGUUUUGUUGGAUUUUAUCAAUUUUGUGAAAUCUAACACAUGACUUUCCUAAUUUUUUGUAUUGUUUUUGUGUUUUCUAUUUAAUUUCUUUUUCUCUUAUCCUUACGAUUCUCUUCCUGCUAUGUUUUCCUAGUUUAAUUUGGUGGGUUUUCUUGUUGUUGUUGUUGCUUCUUGGAAUACAAAUAAUAACAGUGCUGUAUGCCUGUAAUCCCAGACAGGAGAGGAUGAAGUGGGAAAAUUGCUUCAGCCUAGGAGUUUGAGAACCACCUAGGUGGCAGAGACAGACCCUGUCCUGAAAAAAAAAAAAAAAAAGGAAAUAGAUAAAAAUAAUAAAAUAAUAAAAAGGACAUUAUUCUUGAGCUUUUUCUCUAAUUAUUUUCCCUGAGAUAACUUGAAAGCUUUAAAAAUACAUCUGAGCAAUGCUUAGUCAAGUUUUACAAGUUUUUAUAUGCUAGACCAUCAUUUUCAUUUAGUUGAAAAUACGUGCUGUAUUUUAAAAUAUUUUGUUUGGAUCCAUUGCUUAUUUAAAAGUCUAGUGCUUAAUUUUUACACAAGUUUGCCUCUUCUAGUUAUUUUUAUUUUUUGUGUGUUCUACUCACUGGUAUUUACAUUAAAUAUUUAAGUUUAGAAUAUGUGUAUGUGUUCUGGAAAAGGUGGUACAUAGUUCCUGUUUUUCCUGUUAUUAAUAUCUUACAUUAGUAUGAUACAUUUGUCAUAAUAUUGAACUAAUGUUGAUGCAUUAUUAAUUUUAUCAUUGAUGGGUUUUUACUAUUACCAUUCUUAAUUGGGGACAGCAGUGUCAGAGGAGUUUGUUUAAGAUUUCAAACAGAGGCAAGAAUUGCUGUGUCUACUGAUCCAAAUGUUAUUACUGGGGUGGGAAACCCUCUCUUGUUAAGCAUGAAUUUUCAAGAUACAACAUUAACAAAAGUCCCUGUUAGAUUCAAAUUUUCUUAUUUUUAAAUUAUCAUCUCUUCUUGUGUCCACAAUCCUCUCCAUGGUGCCAUGUUAUAUUUAAUAGUCAUAUAUCCUUAACUUCCUCUUGGCUAUGACAGUUUCUCAGAUUCCUGUUGUCUCUGAUGACCUUGACGCUUAGUAUUGAUGAGGAAUUUUGUAUAAAGUACCUGAAAUGGAACUGGUCUAAUGUUUAUUUCGUGACUAGACUGAUAAUGUUUUUAGGAAGAAGACCAUAGAAAUAAAGUGCCAUUUUCAUUUCAUCAGGUCAAGAGUACAUCUAUGCUCUUAUCCUGACUUGUCACUGUUGAUGCUAAACUUAAUCACCUGGUUGAGUUAAUAUCUGUCAGGUUUCUCCAGUAUAAAGUUAUUCUAUGUUUUUUCCCUUUUCAUACUUUACUCUUUGGAAGCAAUCAAAUUUUGUAUGUUAAUCAUGUAUCUUACGACCUUGUUACGCACGCUCAUUAAAUCCAAGAGUUUUUGAGAUCUUUUGUUUGUUAAUUAUGUUUUUUGCAUUUGCUGAGAUUUUCUGCCUAGGCAAUCAUGUCACCUGUGAGUAAAGACAAUUUCAUGAUAUCUUUGCCAGUCUUUACAUAUUUAUUUCUUUUCCUCAUCUUACUGCACUAGGUUGGAGUCUUCUCGGUGUAAUAUUGAAUAGGAAUAGCAGGAGAGGCCAUUCUUGCCUUGCUCUAGUUAUAAGGGGAAAAUAUGCAGUUUCCUUCCAUUAACUAUAAUGUCAGCUAUACGUUUUCGGUAUAUGUUCUUUAUAAUAUUGAGGAAUUCCCUUCUAUGUCAUUUGUUGAGAGGUUUUAUCAUGAAUGGCUAUUGAAUACAAAUAAAUCUUUUUCUGUACCAAUUAACACACUCACAUGACUGUUUUUUAGUUUGUUAAUGUGGUCGAUUACAUUAGUUGACUUUUGAAUACCUAAAUGUUUAGCCUUGAAUAUCUGGAGUAAAUCCUAGUAAAUUGUGGUGUGCAAUUAUUUUUAUGCAUUUUAAGAUUUGAUUGCUAAUACAUUUGCUAUGUUUUUUAGAGAUAUUGGUCUGUAAUUUUUAUUUUCUGUAAUGUCUUUAUGUGAUUCUGGAAUUAGGGUGAUUUUGGC
rnacentral:lncRNA from 10 species